rnacentral:rRNA from 1 species
CUAAGAAUAUUCCGCAAUGGACGGAAGUCUGACGGAGCGACGCCGCGUGGAUGACGAAGGCCGAAAGGUUGUAAAGUUCUUUUGCUGGGGAAGAAUAACCGCAGGAGGGAAUGCCUGUGGGAUGACAAGAACCGGCGAAUAAGCCCCGGCCAACUACGUGCCAGCAGCCGCGGUAACACGUAGGGGGGCGAGCGUUGUUCGGAAUUACUGGGCGUAAAGGGCAUGUAGGCGGCUUGGAAAGCCUGGCGUGAAAGUCUGCAGCUUAACUGCAGGGGUGCGCUGGGAACUGCUGAGCUUGAGUGACGGAGAGGGAGCUGGAAUUCCUGGUGUAGGGGUGAAAUCUGUAGAUAUCAGGAAGAACACCGAUGGCGAAGGCAAGCUCCUGGCCGAUGACUGACGCUGAGGUGCGAAAGUGUGGGGAUCAAACAGGAUUAGAUACCCUGGUAGUCCACACAGUCAACGAUGUGCACUAGGUGCUGGGGCGGUAGCUUCGGUGCCGGAGCGAACGUGGUGAAGUGCACCGCCUGGGGAGUAUGCUCGCAAGGGUGAAACUAAAUGAUUGACGGGGUCAUAGCUGUUUCCU